rnacentral:rRNA from 1 species
UACGAAGGGGGCUAGCGUUGCUCGGAAUCACUGGGCGUAAAGCGCACGUAGGCGGAUUGCUAAGUCAGGGGUGAAAUCCUGGAGCUCAACUCCAGAACUGCCUUUGAUACUGGCGACCUUGAGUCCGGGAGAGGUGAGUGGAACUGCGAGUGUAGAGGUGAAAUUCGUAGAUAUUCGCAAGAACACCAGUGGCGAAGGCGGCUCACUGGCCCGGUACUGACGCUGAGACGCGAAAGCGUGGGGAGCGAUCCGG